GAGGGUAUAGUUCAGUGGUAGAGUGCAUGCCUAGCAUGCAUGAGGUCCUGGGUUCAAUCCCCAGUAUCUCCA
rnacentral:tRNA from 1 species